AACGAACGCUGGCGGCAGGCCUAACACAUGCAAGUCGAGCGAGGACUUCGGUUCUAUCGUCGGUCGGGUUAGUAACGCGUGGGAAUGUUCCCUUCUCUACGGAAUAGCUCUGGGAAACUGGGAGUAAUACCGUAUACGCCCUAUUGCGGAAAGAUUUAUCGGAGCAGGAUCUUCCGGCGUUGGAUUAGGUAGUUGGUGGGGUAAUGGCCUACCAUGCCGUCGAUUCAUAGCUGGUUAGAGAGGAUGAUCAGCCACACUGGGACUGAGAAACGGCCCAGACUCCUACGGGAGGCAGGAGUGGGGAAUCGAAGAAAAUGGGGGGAACCAUGAAGGAGCCAUGACGGGAAAAUGAUGAAGGCCUUAGGGAAGAAAAGCGCAAUCAGCUGGGAAGAUAAUGACGGUACCAGAAGAAGAAGCCCCGGCUAACUCCGUG
rnacentral:rRNA from 1 species